GCCCAGCUUGCUGGGCGGAUUAGUGGCGAACGGGUGAGUAAUACGUGAGUAACCUGCCCUUGACUCUGGGAUAAGCCUGGGAAACUGGGUCUAAUACUGGAUACUACCUCUUACCGCAUGGUGGGUGGUGGAAAGGGUUUUACUGGUUUUGGAUGGGCUCACGGCCUAUCAGCUUGUUGGUGGGGUAAUGGCUCACCAAGGCGACGACGGGUAGCCGGCCUGAGAGGGUGACCGGCCACACUGGGACUGAGACACGGCCCAGACUCCUACGGGAGGCAGCAGUGGGGAAUAUUGCACAAUGGGCGGAAGCCUGAUGCAGCGACGCCGCGUGAGGGAUGACGGCCUUCGGGUUGUAAACCUCUUUCAGUAGGGAAGAAGCGAGAGUGACGGUACCUGCAGAAGAAGCGCCGGCUAACUACGUGCCAGCAGCCGCGGUAAUACGUAGGGCGCAAGCGUUGUCCGGAAUUAUUGGGCGUAAAGAGCUCGUAGGCGGUUUGUCGCGUCUGCUGUGAAAGCCCGGGGCUCAACCCCGGGUCUGCAGUGGGUACGGGCAGACUAGAGUGCAGUAGGGGAGACUGGAAUUCCUGGUGUAGCGGUGAAAUGCGCAGAUAUCAGGAGGAACACCGAUGGCGAAGGCAGGUCUCUGGGCUGUUACUGACGCUGAGGAGCGAAAGCAUGGGGAGCGAACAGGAUUAGAUACCCUGGUAGUCCAUGCCGUAAACGUUGGGCACUAGGUGUGGGGGACAUUCCACGUUUUCCGCGCCGUAGCUAACGCAUUAAGUGCCCCGCCUGGGGGAGUACGGCCGCAAGGCUAAAACUCAAAGGAAUUGACGGGGGCCCGCACAAGCGGCGGAGCAUGCGGAUUAAUUCGAUGCAACGCGAAGAACCUUACCAAGGCUUGACAUUCACCGGACCGCCCCAGAGAUGGGGUUUCCCUUCGGGGCUGGUGGACAGGUGGUGCAUGGUUGUCGUCAGCUCGUGUCGUGAGAUGUUGGGUUAAGUCCCGCAACGAGCGCAACCCUCGUUCUAUGUUGCCAGCACGUGAUGGUGGGGACUCAUAGGAGACUGCCGGGGUCAACUCGGAGGAAGGUGGGGAUGACGUCAAAUCAUCAUGCCCCUUAUGUCUUGGGCUUCACGCAUGCUACAAUGGCCGGUACAAAGGGUUGCGAUACUGUGAGGUGGAGCUAAUCCCAAAAAGCCGGUCUCAGUUCGGAUUGAGGUCUGCAACUCGACCUCAUGAAGUCGGAGUCGCUAGUAAUCGCAGAUCAGCAACGCUGCGGUGAAUACGUUCCCGGGCCUUGUACACACCGCCCGUCAAGUCACGAAAGUUGGUAACACCCGAAGCCGGUGGCCUAACCCCUUGUG
rnacentral:rRNA from 2 species